UGUGUGCUUUUGUUUGUGUGUUUGUGUGCUGUCACACACGUGAGUGUGUUUGUGCUCCCGUGCCCAUCACCCUUUCCCUCCCGCAUCUGUGUUAUCUGCACCUUGGUGCAAGAGAGUGUAGAGGCCAGUAGCCAGCCCGGCUGCUGUUCUUAAGACAGUAUUUGAGAUGCCUGGGAAUGAGCCCACAGGGACCCAGAGCUUCAGUGAAAGGACAUCUAGUGGUUCCCGGAGCAGCUGCAGCAUCCAGGACACAUGGAACUACAGUGGAGGUACCACUAGUAGUGAUAAAAUGCCUGCACAUAUUGAAGAGGAGUUACCACCUCCCAGCCCUCAGCCCAGUAACCCUGAGGACGGAGAGUUGUACUCCCAAUAUAAAGUUGUAAGAACUCUCGGGCAUGGGACUUACGCCAAGGUCCUCCUGGCCAAGCACUGGCUCACAGGCACACCCGUGGCCGUCAAAGUUCUUCUAAAGAACAAGCCCUGUUUCCAGCCAGCCAUGAAGGAGGCCAAUAUAAUGAAAAAGAUCAAACACCCAAAUAUUGUCUCACUUCUCCAAGUGUUUGAGACCAAAACAAGAGGAUACCUCAUCAUGGAACUGGUUGAAGGCCAAGAACUUUAUGAAUACAUCAAAAGUUCUGGCCACAUAGAGGAGGACGAAGCCCGACAAAUAUUUUUACAAAUACUGUCAGCAGUGAGCUACUGCCACGGACUUGGUAUAGUGCAUAGGGACCUAAAACCUGAUAAUAUCAUGAUAGAUGACAAGGGGAGCAUCAAAAUAAUCGACUUUGGGCUUAGUACCCAAGUCAAACCCGGAGAUUUGUUGGACGAGCACUGUGGUGCUUAUGCUUUUGGUGCCCCUGAGUUAUUCCUCUGGAAAAGUUACGAUGGCACAAAAAGUGACCUAUGGGCAUUAGGAGUGAUAUUGUACUACAUGGUUGUUGGAAAGGUCCCAUUCGACUCGUACAUCAUACCUGAGCUGCAAAGGCAGAUACUGGCAGGUGUAUACCCUGCCCCCUGUGGAGUGUCCAAUGAGCUGAAGGACCUGUUGAGCCUCUUAAUGACAGUAAACCCCAAAUAUAGGCCGACAGUCACAGAAGUGAUGAAGCAUCCCUGGCUAAGAGGCCACUGCAAAGGGUUAACAAAUAUUCAUGAGGAACCUGUCCCUGUCAGACCAGAUCCUGACAUUGUAGAUGCGAUGCAGUAUAUUGGGUUCCAAGCAAAAGAUAUUAGAGAGUCGCUCACUAAAGAAAAAUUUAAUGAAAUGUCGGCUGCAUAUUAUUUACUAGAAGAGCAGGCUCUCCAGAGGGAAGUCCGCUCAACCCAGGCUCCAACAGUGAGUCAAGUUAAGGCCCCAUUCCCUUCCAUGGAUGCUGGUGAAGCUUCGUGUUUAAAAAUUAAGAGGAGUGGAAGUGCUUCCAUCCUUGGCAGAUCGGUCUGGCCACCAUCCAUUGAUCAAGAGCCAGCCUAUGUCCAGAAGGUUAGGCAAAGAGCAGGCAGAAGAUCCAGUGGGCAUGGUCUACUCUUCGAGCCAAACCAGAUGACACCAACACAGGACCAACACCACAUACGUGCCAUGAGUGUCCCCUGCAUGCUUUCAACAAGCAGCAUAAGUGAAGAGAGCGUCAGUGAGAAGAGAGAAGAGAAUCUCUCCCACAUUGCCCUAGCAGAGGAUAAGCCCAUCCGCAGCAGGGGCUGGUGCAGAGGCAUCAUGCGAUGGACAAGGAGGGUGGGGAAUGCCAUCAGGACGCUGUGUUGCUGCAUUCCAUCAAGAAAAACACCUCAGCUGGGGCAGAGCAGAGUCUCUCCCCAGAAAUGAGGCACAGAGAGAAAUUCCAGAGACACAGCAGCAGGCAGGGCCCAGUGCCAUCUGGAAAAUUUUUCACACCCUGAGUAUAAAUAGGAGGCUAUUUGAAAAAUAUGGCCCUGGAAAAGACCCAGAAGUAGUAGAUGCUACAGCAGCAACAGCAGCAGCAGCAGCAGCAGCAGCAGCAGCAGCAGCAGCGGCAGCAAACCCCCUGGCUUCCCUGUCUAUGAAAAGAAGGAGGAUCACCCUACUCUUCUCCUGGGACUCACUCUGAAUGCAGUAACCAUCUAUCAAGAUGUAGACAACACUUCAUAGCUGCUCUACGACUUCCCCUGGUCACUUCUUUCAAAGGUGACAUUUCUGGUGGGCGUCUGAAGGGGCAAGGCAUCUAUAAACUCAGGAGUCCAAAGAAUCCUGGACCCAAUAACCUCAUCCUCACCAAUGCCAUCCAGAGCUCCCUGAGGCUACUCCACACCCUCAGGCAUCUCUCAGCCCCCACAUCCAGUUUUCUGGACUGUAAAAUCACAUUGUCCUUCCUGUCUGUCCAGAAUGGCUUUCGGCAACACAGAAGCUAUUUUUCUACACGGGCCAUACCUGGCGCUCCCGUUUCCUGCUGCAACUGCCCUGCUUCGCACUACCCAUUGGUUUCACCUCAGCUUGGAGCCUGUGCUGCAGUGGCUACAAAAGCUGGAGGAGGCAGAAAGCAGAGAAGAAGAGCGAUCAGGAAUCCUAUAUCAGUGACCUGCUGGAGCUAAACCUGGACCUGGAAGCAAGCAGCAGGAACUCCCUGGGUAAUGAGGACAAUAAGAGCAGCACACAGCAUCUCCACUGCCUCUCAUUCUGCUCCAAAAGCCAUGGCAGCUCCCACACAGCAGGCAUCAAGCCUAAAACCCAGCAGGGAUAAUGUGAGAUAUCUGGGAUGAGCCCACAGGGACCUCAAGGUUCUGUGGAAGGACAUCCAGUGGUUCCUCGAGCAGCUGCAGCAGCCAGGACUCAUGGAACUACAGUGGAGGUGACCUAUAGGACUAGCAGCCACCCAGAGACCUUUGCAGAACUGUGGGUCAUGCUAAUGAGAAUGAGGGGCCAGAGGUCACAUCCCAGGGCUGCUACCAGACAACUCAGGACCUAUGAAACUUGAGUUCCCACCACCAUAGGGCACCAGAGAGACUACACUAGAGGCCCUGUGAAACCUAGGUAGAGUACAAUGUGCAUGACUCUACUAUCUGUGUGGUAUGUGUAGCGUCUUCAGAGCAGAACCUAAAGUUUGUCAUGGCUAAGUCUGUCAUGGCUGAAAAGCAUAAGUUUGCCCAUCAAUGUGGAACAACUGUCAAUUGAUAGAACCCAGAGAGUCAGUGGACAAGUUUAAGUCAAAGGUGGCCCUCCUUAAAUUCUCAGAUGCUUCCAGGGUAGUGUAUAGCGACCACAUCCAGAGCCAUUUCUGAAAGAUAUAAGUGCAAAAAGGUGACAAUGGCGUGGGAAUUCUUAUCAGGCCAGCAUCCCUUGGUUCCAGUGGGGACCCAAAGAGGUCAUAUACCAAGGCAUGGAGGCUGUCUAGAACAUCUAGGAUGUUUCAGAGUUACACAAGAGCCCACGGCCCAGCCUGGAAAAAACCCUAAAGUAUCAGAAUUAUCAGCGAUUCUAAGGUAGGGUGGGAUAUGGACUAAUGAAUGCUCAGGUGGUUGAAGGAAUCAGCCCAAGGUAAACUUCAGGGAAGUGUGUUGUGAGAGCUAAGACAGGGCAUACCAACAGGAUGGCCUAUCAGACCCAGGAUAGAUAGCCUAUGCCAGAAUUAGAACUGUCUGGGUAGAGCUGGCUUCUGUGGCUGUAGGAGCACUGAAAGCACAUAUGCAGGAGGACUCCCAGCAUACUCUUAUAUCUCU